UACGUAGGGGGCAAGCGUUGUCCGGAAUCAUUGGGCGUAAAGCGCGCGUAGGCGGCCCGGUAAGUCCGCUCUGAAAGUCCAGGGCUCAACCCUGGAAAGCGGGUGGAUACUGCCGGGCUAGAAUCCGGAAGAGGCGAGUGGAAUUCCUGGUGUAGCGGUGAAAUGCGUAGAUAUCUGGAGGAACACCGGUGGCGAAGGCGGCAUCCUGGACCGGUAUUGACGCUGAGUGAGCGAAAGCCAGGGGAGCAAACGGG
rnacentral:rRNA from 1 species